rnacentral:lncRNA from 1 species
CUUGGGCUCGCCCGAUCCCUCGCAGAUGCUGGGGCGGCACGGUCCCCACUGCAGCCCACCUAAGGGGCUCGGGGCUGGGCAGCCCUCAGGAAGCGAGCCAAGCCCACCCCCAGGGACACCUCCCACACGUACACACCCCAAGCUGAGCCCACGUCAGCUCGGCCGCAGCACUAGGAGAGUAACAGGAGGAGGCGGGAGAGGCUGCUUCAAGGGAGAACACGUCACAUCACUAGCAGAGUCGUGCGAGGACGGGCGCGGUGUGCAGAAGAGCGGCCAGCCCGCUGGUGGCUUCAGGACCCUGGACAGUUGAAGUCGGCCACGGGCAGGGGCUGCGGGGGAAGCGCCGAUUCCGCAGCCUCGGCCCCAGCCGCCCUGCUGCCUGAGCGCCUGGCCCCAGGCACUGCUUUCCCACGUCCCAGGCGAGAGUCUGGCCUGCCAAGGCGAUGCAGAGCCAAUGCAGUGACAAUGCAGGCUUCCUAAAGUAAUGUAGCAGCAGACUGAAAGAAGAAUGGUGGAUAAAUGAGCGGACGUGUUUAAUGCAUUACAGAAAUAUAUUGAAUCACAUCUGCAUAUAAAGAAGUCAUUCAAGGAGUCAUCGACAAUUGCACUACUGAAGAACAGCAAGGAAAACAGAAGUGUGAUUUUAUGUAUACAAUUGUUGUUCUAAUAUUUCUUUGUUUAAUGUCUUCAAAUUGAAUAAAUACACUUACAAAGCUUUGUACUUAGAACA